rnacentral:rRNA from 1 species
GACGAACGCUGGCGGCGCGCCUAACACAUGCAAGUCGAACGAGAGAUGAGGAGCUUGCUCUUCAAAUCGAGUGGCGAACGGGUGAGUAACGCGUGAGGAACCUGCCUCAAAGAGGGGGACAACAGUUGGAAACGACUGCUAAUACCGCAUAAGCCCACGGCUCGGCAUCGAGCAGGGGGAAAAGGAGCAAUCCGCUUUGAGAUGGCCUCGCGUCCGAUUAGCUAGUUGGUGAGGUAACGGCCCACCAAGGCGACGAUCGGUAGCCGGACUGAGAGGUUGAACGGCCACAUUGGGACUGAGACACGGCCCAGACUCCUACGGGAGGCAGCAGUGGGGAAUAUUGCACAAUGGGGGAAACCCUGAUGCAGCGACGCCGCGUGGAGGAAGAAGGUCUUCGGAUUGUAAACU